rnacentral:tRNA from 1 species
CUUUUAAAGGAUCAAAGUUAAUCCGUUGGUCUUAGGAACCAA